UGGAUGAACUUGAAACUUUCUCAGAGUGUU
rnacentral:piRNA from 1 species